CUGUGUGUGUGUGUGUGUGUGUGUGUGUGUGUGUGUGUGUGUGUGUGUGUGUGUGUGUGUGUGUGUGUGUGUGUGUGUGUGUGUGUGUGUGUGUGUGUGCGUGCGUGUGUGCGUGUGUGCGUGUGUGCGUGCGUGCGUGCGCAGGUGUGUGUUUAGAAUCAGUAAAACAAAUGGAUUCAUUGAGUGAGUCAUAAGAUGUCGAAUCAGUAAAACAAACAGAUUCAGUGAGUGAGUCAUAAGAUGAAGUAGAAUUAGUAAAACAAAUAGAUUUAUCGAGUGAGUCAUAAGAUGUGGAAUCAGUAAAACAAAUAGAAAUAGAUUCAACUAGUGAGUGAGUCAGAAGAUGUAGAAUUAGUCAAAUAAAUAGAUUAAUUGAGCAAGUCAUCCGAUGUAGAAUCAGUAAACAGUACAUUCAUUGAGUGAGUCAUAAGAUGUAGAACCACGAAAACAAUUAGAUUCAUUGAGUGAGUGAGUCAUAAGAUGUAUAAUUAGUCAAAUAGAUUAAUUGAGUGAGUCAUAAGAUGUCGAAUCGGUAAAACAUACAGAUUCAGUGAAUGAGUCAUAAUAUGUAGAAUCAGUAAAACAAAUAGGUUCAUUGAGUAAGUCAAAAGAUGUAGUAGAAUCAGUAAAACAAAUACGAUUUUUAGAGUGAGUCAUAAGAUGUGGAAUCAGUAAAACAAAUAGAUUCAACUGGUGAGUGAGUCAGAAUAUGUAGAAUUAGUAAACAGUACAUUCAUUGAGUGAGUCAUAAGAUGCAGAACCACGAAAACAAUUAGAUUUAUUGAGUGAGUGAGUCAUAAUAUGUAUAAUUAAUAAAAUAGAUAAUUAUUUGUGUGUCAUCAGAUGUAGAAUUAGUCAGACAAAGAUUAAUUGAGUAAGUCAUAAGAUGUAGAAUCAGUAAAAAAUAAAUUCAUUGAGUUAGUCAUAAGAUGUAGAACCAUGAAAACAAAUAGAUUCAUUGAGUGAGUGAGUCAUAAUAUGUAUAAAUAGUAAAAUAAAUACAUUAUUUGAGUGAGUCAGACAAAGAUUCAUUUAGUAAGUCAUAAGAUGUAGAAUCAGUAAAAAAUAAAUUCAUUGAGUUAGUCAUAAGAUGUAGAACCAUGAAAACAAAUAGAUUCAUUGAGUGAGUGAGUCAUAAUAUGUAUAAUUAGUAAAAUAAAUACAUUAUUUGAGUGAGUCCGGCCACAUCAAACAUGAGGUGGACGCGGGCAAAUACUGCGGCAUGGUCAUGCUGGACAUUCAGAAGGCCUUUGACACUGUUAACCACGCUAACCACGCUAUACUGUUGGAUAAGCUCCGAGCAAUCGGAUUCGACGAAACCUCAUCGAGCUGGAUGCAAUCUUACUUGGAGGGGAGGAAACAGAUGUUAGAGGUGAACGGCACCAUGUCCCCUCCCCUCUCAGUAAGCUGUGGAGUCCUCCAAGGCAGUAUACUAGGACCUUUACUGUUCCUAAUAUACGUAAAUGACAUGCCAUCAGCAUGCCACUGUGAACUGUUCCUGUUUGCGGAUGACUCGGCCCUUCUGGUAUCCGGCAAGGACAAGUCACAGGUGGAACAAAUCCUCAGUGCUGAACUCCUUAAUAUUUGCACCUGGCUUGCUGACAACAAGCUAUCCAUACACUUAGGUAAAACGGAAUCCAUCCUAUUUGGGUCCCAUAUCAAACUUAAGAAGGUCAGUGACUUCACUAUAAAAGUGGGUGACAUUGUUAUCACCAGGAAGGAUGAGAUCACCUACCUAGGUUCCAUUCUAGAGGCUAAUCUUUCCUGUGAUAAAAUGGCAACCAAGGUGAUCAAAAAGGUCAACCAAAGAACGAGAUUCCUCUACAGAAUCUCCUCUCUGGUCAACAAAAGCACCUUGAGGAUUCUAGCGGGAACUCUCAUUCAACCCUUCUUCGAUUACGCUUGCACCUCCUGGUACCCCAGCACCUCCAAAACCCUCAAAUCUAGACUCCAAACAUCCCAGAAUAAGCUAGUCCGGUUACUUUUAGACAUCCAUCCCAGAUCACACCUCAAUCCAACCCACUUCUCCAAAAUGUGCUGGCUCAGGGUGGAGGAUAGAGUAAAACAACUUGCACUGAGCCUAGUCUACACCUCCUUGAUACCGAAGUACAUGUUAAACUACUUCCUUAACCUAAAUGACCGCCAUAACCACAACACCAGGGGGAGCUCCACAAACCACGUUAAACCCAGAUUCCGAUCCAACAAAGGUCUUAACUCAUUCUCUUUCUAUGCCACAUCAAUGUGGAAUGCACUCCCAACAGGUAUAAAAGUAAGUGCAUCUCUAUCCUCCUUUAAAACCGCUCUAAAACCUAAAACAACACCUCCAGGCAACUUCAACACUUUACUAAUACCCUCCUCCAUUCACAUCCCAUCUCCCCGGAUUAUAAACAACUCAAAUGUACUUCUAAUGUAUAUACUGUACUUGUUCUUAUGCUAUCUGAACUCACUAUGUUCUCCGCUGGCUGUACAUAUCCUACUAAAUAAGACCUACACUGUUUCAAUGUCCACAUUUCUCUGUUGAUGCAAUUGUUGAUGACUGAAGUACUGAUAUCAACCAAAGCUCCUCAUCCCACCCCCCGGAUUGUAAAUAAUGUAAAUAAUUCAAUGUACAUACUAUGAUGAUUAACUUGUGUGAUGACUGUAUUAUGUUGAUAGUAUAUAUUUGUACCAUGAAUUGAUUAACGUGGACCCCGACUUAAACAAGUGGAAAAACUUAUUUGGGUGUUACCAUUUAGUGGUCAAUUGUACGGAAUAUGUACUGAACUGUGCAAUCUACUAAUAAAAGUAUCAAUCAAUCAAUCAAUCAAUCAAAGUCAUCAGAUGUAGAAUUAGUCAAAUAGAUUCAGUGAGUGAGUCAUAAGAUGUAGUAGAAUCAGUAAAACAAAUAAGAUUAUUAGAGUGAGUCAUAAGAUGUAGAAUCAGUAAAACAAAUAGAUUCAGUGAGUCAUAAGAUGUAGAAUUAGUCAAACAGAUUCAAUGAGUGAGUCAUCAGAUGUAGAACCACAAAAACAAAUAGAUUCAUUUAGUGAGUGAGUCAUAAGAUGUAUAAUUAGUCAAACAAAUCGAUUUAUAGAGUGAGUCAUCAGAUGUAGAAUCAGUAAAAAGGACAUUCAUUGAGUGAGUCAUAAGCUGUAGAUCCAUGAAAACAAAAAGAUGUAUUGAGUGAGUCAUAAGAUGUAUAAUUAGAAAAUAGAUUAAUUGAUUGAGUCAUAAAUUGUACAAUCAGUAAAACAAAUUGAUUAAUCGAGUGAGUCAUAAGAUGUAGAAUCAGUAAAACAAAUAGAUUCGUUGAGUGAGUCAUGAGAUGUACAAUCAGUAAAACAAAUAGAUUAAUUGAGUGAAUCAUAAGAUGUAGAAUGUAGAGUCGAGACGACCAUGAGCACGGCAUCGCCAUGGCAACCAGACACCUGUAGGUUAACCUCUUUUUGAAGACCUUUGGCCCCAACAAAGCCCCAAUGAACUCUUCCUAUUGGACCAUUUUUAGUGGCUGGACCCGGCUCCGCCUCCAGCACGGCUCCAUUAACCCCGCGUCAUCGGGCUCAGCUGCUAGCGCGCGGCUAAAUCCCGCCAGUGUCAGCCAUCUUUUAGCCGCCGUCCUCCACAGUAACACCUUCAUCUGGCCGCCGCGCCCGCAAUAUGUUUCAAUGGCUUCUAAUCCCCGCUGGCGAGGGAGAGAAGAAGACUGGUGAUCCCCGGCGGGCGAAGAAAAGCGAGAACACUCCAUGAUGGAGGACUCCUCUCCUCCCCCCGCUGCUCGCCAUCCCUCGCUCCCUCUCCUCAUCUCUCAGGGAUUAUCUGCCGCCGCUGCCGGGACUUGUGGGAAAUAUUAGAAAAGUGCCGCAGGCUGCAGCAGGAAGUCUUGAUGCAAGACAGGAAGCACCUGGAAGCCAAGAAGCAGCUGGUCAAAGGUCAGUCAGAGCGAGAUGCAGCUUUGGAAAGGGAGCAUGUGCUCCAAACCAAUCCCAG